GGAAGGGUGGGUGAGCGGUUGAAACCAGCUCCUUGCUAAGGAGCCGGACGUCACAGUCCCGAGAGUUCGAAUCUCUCUCCUUCCUCCA
rnacentral:tRNA from 1 species